CACGUAGGGUGCGAGCGUUGUCCGGAAUUAUUGGGCGUAAAGAGCUCGUAGGCGGUGUGUCGCGUCGGCCGUGAAAACCUGCAGCUUAACUGUGGGCUUGCGGUCGAUACGGGCAUCACUGGAGUUCGGCAGGGGAGACUGGAAUUCCUGGUGUAGCGGUGAAAUGCGCAGAUAUCGGGAGGAACACCGGUGGCGAAGGCGGUUCUCUGGGCCCUGUGCUGACGGCUGAGGAGCGAAAGCGUGGGGAGCGAACAGG
rnacentral:rRNA from 1 species